rfam:Candidatus Syntrophoarchaeum butanivorans isolate BOX1 BOX1_11reassembly_contig03, whole genome shotgun sequence.
GGGGCCGUAGGGUAGCCUGGUCAUCCUCGGGGACUGGGGGUCCUCGGACUGGAGUUCGAAUCUCCGCGGCCCCA